rnacentral:misc_RNA from 1 species
UCCGGUUUGUCACCGGCAGUCACCUUAGAGUGCCCAACUAAAUGCUGGCAACUAAGGUCAAGGGUUGCGCUCGUUGCGGGACUUAACCCAACAUCUCACGACACGAGCUGACGACAACCAUGCACCACCUGUCACCGCUGUCCCCGAAGGGAAAGGCCUGUCUCCAGACCGGUCAGCGGGAUGUCAAGACCUGGUAAGGUUCUUCGCGUUGCUUCGAAUUAAACCACAUGCUCCACCGCUUGUGCGGGCCCCCGUCAAUUCCUUUGAGUUUUUGCCUUGCGGCCGUAGUCCCCAGGCGGGGUGCUUAUUGCGUUAGCGACGGCACCGGAGGGGUCGAUACCCCCGACACCUAGCACCCAUCGUUUACAGCGUGGACUAC